UUUUUUUUUUCUUUUGCUUUUUUAGGGCCGCACCUGUGGCCUAUGAAAGUUCCCAGCUAGGGGUUGAAUCGGAGCUGUAGCUGCCAGCCUAUGCCACAGGCACAGCAACGCAGGAUCCGAGCUGCAUCUGCAACCUACGGCAACACCAGAUCCUUAACCCACUGAGCAAGCCAGGGAUCGAACCUGUGUCCUCAUGGAUGCUAGUCAGAUUCAUUAACUGCUUAGCAACGAGGGGAACUCCCCCCACCUUUUUAAUGGUCACAGCCAUGAUAUACAGAAGUUCCUGGGCCAGGAAUUGAAUCCAAGCUGUAGCUGCUACCUGAGCCACUGCAGUUGGAUUCUUAAAGCACUGCACCACGGUGGGAACUCCUGAUUCUAUUUUUAAAAUGAGGAAACUAAGCAUGUUUUAUUUAUCUAUAUUUUAAAUUUUGUCUGCUGCAUGCAGCAUUUGGAUGUGGGAUCUCACUUCUCAGACCGGGGACUGAACCCCAGCCUUGGCUGUUAAAGCACUGAGUCCUAACCACUAGGCCACCAGAGAACUCCCUCCCAAAUUUAUUUAUUUUUAUUUAUUUUUUAAUUUUAGCACUUUUUUUUUUUUUUUUCCUUUUUUGUCCACCCUGAGGCACAUGGAGUUCCUGGGCCAGAGAUCAGAUCUGAGCCAAGGUUGCUACUUAAGCUGCAGCUGUGGUAAGGCCAGAUCCUUAACCCAUGGUUCUGGGCUGGGGAUCGAACCUGUGUUCCAGUGCUCCCACAAUGCCGCCAAUCCCAUUGCACCAAAGCGGGAAAUUCUUAACAUGUUUUAACUUAAGUUCACACAGCUAUUAGGUGACUUGGCAAGAAUUUGAAGCCAGCUACAUAUGACUGAAAAAUCCAUAUGUUCUUACCUUUUUUCUUUGUCUAUCACAGAAUUCUGGACUCAUGAACAGUAUUGGUCCAAGAUUAUUUUAUUCUUUUCUAUUUUAUGAUUCUUUAAUUCUCCAAAAUAAUUAUUAUUUUUUUACAAAUUAAGAUUAUGAAACAUUCUUAAAAGAGUUUCCUAAGGUAUUGUUUGGUUUUCUAGGGCUGCUGUUACCAAGUACCACAAUCUGGGUGGCUCAAAACAACAGAAUUUUUUUGUCUCACAGUUUCAGAGGCUAAAAGUCCAAAACCAAGGUGUCAGAGGGGCUCAGUUCCCUCUGAAACCCAGGAGAAUCCCUCUUUGCCUCUUCCCAGCUCCUGGUGGUUUGCUAGCAAUCCUAGCCAGGCCAUGGGCUGUAGCCCCAGCACUGCAGUCUCUGUCCCCUUCCCACAUGGCCAUCUCCCAGGUCUCCCCUUCUAAAGACACCAACUGUAUUGAAUUAAGGGCCUCCCUACUCCCACCUCAUCCUAACUAAUUAUAUCCCUAAUGGCCCUAUUUCCAAAUAAGGUCACAUCCUUAGAUACUGGGAAUUGAGACUUAUCUUUGGGGGGGAACAUAAUUCAAUCUAUAAUAAGUAUGCUCUGAGCACUUUAAACAGCAGCCACUAUUUUUUAUAACUGAACUAACACCUGGUCAUCAACAGCUCAUAAAGUGAGAGCAAAAAUGUUGGUACAUAUCUGAUGUUUUUCUUUUUUUUUGUCUUUUUGCUAUUUCUUGGGAAAUUUAGGUGUGGUAGUUCUUAAACUGUAGUGUCUCAGAACCACCUGGUGGGCUCGAUAAAACACAGCUUUUUGGGACCAGACCCCAGAAUUUCUGGUUUUGUAACAAUGGGGUGGGGCCCUAGAGAAUCUGCAUUUCUAACAAAUUCCUGGAAGCACUGAUGCUCUUCUCCCAGGACUACCCCUUGAUGUGCUGUAGGGAGAUCUCAGGGCUACUUGACGCUUUCUGUUGACUUUGUCAUUGUAAAUGUCCCUGUAGUAAACAUUAGAAUGAAUGAAAUAGCUGUGCUCCACAGGGAAAUGCUGGAAAAAACAAACAAACAAACAAACAAACAGGGGUAUGGCAAAAGCAUGCAGAAAUCAAUCUCAUCUCCCAAUGGCCAAAACCUGGAACAAUGUGAGCAACUAAAUACAUCAUGACAGUAUUACAGAGUUCCUGUUGUGGCUCAGUGAUUAACAAACUUGAACUAGUAUCCAUGAGGACAGGGGUUCCAUCCUUGGCCUCGUGAAGUGGGUUAAGGAUACAGCAUUGCUGUGAUCUAUGGUGUAGGUUGCAGACAUGGCUCAGAUCCUGCAUUGCUGUGGCUGUGGGGUAGGCCAGUAGCUACAACUCCAAUUGGGCCCCUAGCCUGGGAACCUCCAUAUGCAGGAGGUGUGGUCCUAAAAAGACAAAAGACAAAAGACAAAAGACCAAAAAAAAAAAAAAAAAAUG
ensembl:lncRNA